rnacentral:misc_RNA from 1 species
AAAUUUGCACAGACCCAUUUAACAUUAAAUAUAUAUCACCCAUCUAAUAAAAUAUUAAAUUUGAACCUACGCUCUUUCAGUCUCCCAUAAGAAUAAAAGUCGUAUACCCUCAAAGUGAUUAGAACAACUGAGAAGAAAAAAGCAUUUGGCGUAAUUUCAAUUCUCAUAGGCAGUUGGUUCCUUUGUUAUCUUCUAAUAAUACAACACAUUUAAGUUAGAAGCAUAACGUCUACUAUUAUUUAUUUUUGGAAUUCAAAAUUGGUACAGAUUACAAUUCUAUUGCAGCAAUCUGAGACACAAGGGAAAACUCUUCUCCUUAUUCACAAGAUGCAA